UACGAAGGGGGCUAGCGUUGCUCGGAAUCACUGGGCGUAAAGGGUGCGUAGGCGGGUCUUUUAAGUCAGGGGUGAAAUCCUGGAGCUCAACUCCAGAACUGCCUUUGAUACUGAAGAUCUUGAGUUCGGGAGAGGUGAGUGGAACUGCGAGUGUAGAGGUGAAAUUCGUAGAUAUUCGCAAGAACACCAGUGGCGAAGGCGGCUC
rnacentral:rRNA from 1 species